AUGAACGCUAGCGGGAGGCCUAACACAUGCCAGCCGAGCGGUAUUGUUUCUUCGGACAUGAGAGAGCGGCGUACGGGUGCGUAACACGUGUGCAACCUGCCUUUAUCUGGGGGAUAGCCUUUCGAAAGGAAGAUUAAUACUCCAUAAUAUAUUGAACGGCGUCGUUUAAUAUUGAAAGCUCCGGCGGAUAGAGAUGGGCACGCGCAAGAUUAGCUAGUUGGUGAGGUAACGGCUCACCAAGGCGAUGAUCUUUAGGGGGCCUGAGAGGGUGAUCCCCCACACUGGUACUGAGACACGGACCAGACUCCUACGGGAGGCAGCAGUGAGGAAUAUUGGUCAAUGGGUGCAAGCCUGAACCAGCCAUCCCGUGUGAAGGACGACUGCCCUAUGGGUUGUAAACUUCUUUUGUAUAGGGAUAAACCUACCCUCGAGAGGGUAGCUGAAGGUACUAUACGAAUAAGCACCGGCUAACUCCGUG
rnacentral:rRNA from 1 species